UCCCCUAGGUUCUCAGACCCUUCUGGAGUC
rnacentral:piRNA from 1 species